rnacentral:tRNA from 1 species
GUCCCUGUAGUGCAAUUGAUAACCCGUUGGACUUCUAAUCCAAAGGUCGUGGAUUUGAAUCCUACCUGGGAUG